rnacentral:rRNA from 1 species
GACGAACGCUGGCGGCGUGCCUAAUACAUGCAAGUAGAACGCACAGUUUAUACCGUAGCUUGCUCCACCAUAAACUGUGAGUUGCGAACGGGUGAGUAACGCGUAGGUAACCUGCCUGGUAGCGGGGGAAAACUAUCUGAAACGAUAGCUAAUACCGCAUAAUAUUGAUUAUUGCAUGAUAAUUGAUUGAAAGAUGCUAUUGCAUCACUACCAGAUGGACCUGCGUUGUAUUAGCUGGAAGGGGAGGUAACGGCUCACCUAGGCGACGAUACAUAGCCGACCUGGAAGGGUGAUCCGGCACACUUGGACUGGAGCACGGCCCCGGAUCCUUAGGGAGGCAGCAGGAGGGAAUCUUCGCCAAAGGCGGAAAGGCUGACCGAGCAACGCCGCGUGAGUGAAGAAGGGUUUCGGGUCGUAAAGCUCAGUUGUAGGGGAAGAACGGGUGUGAGAGUGAAAAGUUCACACUGUGACGGUAUCUUACCAAGAAGGUACGGCUAACUACGUG